rnacentral:rRNA from 1 species
GUCUACGGCCAUGCCACCCUGAACAAGCCCGAUCCCAUUUGAUCUCGGAAGCUAAGCAGGGUUGGGCCUAGUUAGUACUUGGAUGGGAGACCACCUAGGAAGAUCAGGUACUGUAGAUG